AUUAUGGAAGAACAGAAUCGUCUAGAAUGUCAUUGUCUAGCCCAAACCAUGGAAAAACAGACCCAGACCAGUAUUCCUUCACCAAACUUUACAGUUAGCGCUGCAUUUGUUCAGGUAGCAUUCCUCUGUUAUCCGCCAAACCCAGAUUCCACCAUCGGACUGCUAGAUGGUGAAGCGUGAUUCAUCAUUCCAGAGAGCACGCUUCCACUGCUCCAGAGUCCAAGGGCGGUGCGUUUUACACCAAGCCAGCCGACGUUUGGCAUUGCGCAUGGUGAUUUCAGGCUUGUGUGCUGUUGCUCGUCCAUGAAAACCCAUUUCAUGAAGCUCCCGACAAAAACAGUUAUUUUGCUGACGUUGCUUCCAGAGGCAGUUGGAACUCGAUAGACAAUGACCCAACACACCUCCAGGCUGUGUAAGGACUAUGUGACCAAAAAGGAGAGUGAUGGAGUGCUGCAUCAGAUGGCCUGGCCUCCACAAUCACCCGACCUCAACCCAAUUGAGAUGGUUUGAGAUGAGUUGGACCACAGAGUGAAGGAAAAGCAGCCAACAAGAGCUCAGCAUAUGUGGGAAGUCCUUGAAGGCUGUUGGAAAAGCAUUCCAGGUGAAGCCGGUUGAGAGAAUGCCAAGAGUAUGCAAAGCUGUCAAGGCAAAGGGUGGCUACUUAGAAGAAUCUCAAAUAUAAAAUAUAUUUUGAACGAGAAAGACCGCACUCUUUCCUUUCUCCUCUGUCCUCCCUCAUCUGUGACCUGGAAACCAAUAAGUGGUCUAGUGGUCGAGGAAUGUGUCAAUUCGUUAGUAGGCAAACGGAAGUGUCCUCCCCUCCUCGAUCAACCUUUCAUCGAGGUUACUCAUGUGUAUCCCACUGCUGAAGAGUUUUAAAUCUACUGUAGGGGGUAGGGUCCCAAAGACCCUCCCCAUUAUUGAUUAAGGGGACCUUAAGAUUCAUAUUCUUGUCGCACUAUUGUACUGUUGCUAUGUGUCUGAACUCUGCCACUAUACUUAGCUUGUGCAAUCUAUAUUAGUUUUUGCGGUUAAGCCCUAGCUGUCGCAAGAGUGUGCUUGCAGGCUGGGUGUGAGUCAGAACGAAACUAUAUAAAGAGAAGUAACCACUGUCUUGCGUGACAUUGGACAAUGCUAAUGAAUUCAACGAAGCUACUGUACUAGGUUACCUUAAGGUAACCUCAGCUUAUUGCUGCACAUAUGCUUCGACGUAGGUGAUCGCACCACCAGGGAGUGAUCACAUGUAUAUAAUCAGCUGUGCCCUUUGGUUGGUUGCAGAACUUACUGAGACAUACAUGCUGUGUUUCCAUUGUUAACUUCUGUCUGCAAUUGCAUUAAUAAA
rnacentral:lncRNA from 1 species